ensembl:snRNA U6 U6 spliceosomal RNA
GUGCUCGCUUUAGCAGCACAUAUACUAAAAUUGGAAUGAUACAGAGAAGAUCAGCAUGGCCCCUGUGCAUGGAUGAAAUGCAAAUUCAUGAAGCAUUCCAAAUUUAA